rnacentral:lncRNA from 1 species
UUUUUCUCCAUCCCAAAGAUUUUUUUCCCCAUCCCAAAGUUUUGUUCUCAAUCCCCAGGCUUUUUCCCUUUAUCCCAAACAUUUUUCCCCAUCCCAAGGAUUUGUUCUCCCUCCCCAGGGACGAGGGGCCCCCCAGGGAACUCCAGGACGUGCGGGACAAUUCCAAGGACCGGGAAUACUGGGAAGCCAUGACCCAAAUCAUUCCCCAGCAGAAACUCAAACUUUGGGACGCGCUCGGAUCCGCGCUCGCGGAAUACCACAAAGUGCUGACCCGGAGAUCCCAGCUCUUUUCCGAGGCCACGGCGCUGCAGCAGCAGAACAUGGAGCUGGGAAUGCUGCUGGAGGAAUAUUUGGGAUCCAUGCAAGGCUGAUCCCGCUGAGCUCAGCCUUGGAUUCCCGGGAAUAUUCCAGAAUAUUCCAGAUGUGGAAUAUUCAGCAAAACCCGGGAAUCGCCGGUGCCGGGUUUGGAUUUCCCUGGAUCGGAGCCAGGAAUUCCUGGAAGGGGUUAAUAAAUCAUUCCCAAACCUGGAUCUGUGUGCAGGGAAUGGGAAUUGGAAUUUUGGGAAGUGCCACAAACCCGUGGGAUCUGAGGCCGGGAAUUCCAGGAUGGAACCUUAAAUCCCGUCUCAAUUCCAACCCCACAUUUUCCACAAUCCAGGGAAUUCCUAGAAUUGUGGGAAGUGCCACAAAGCUGUGGGAUCUGAGGCCUGGAAUUCCCAAAUUCUGGGAUGGAAACUUAAAUCCCACCCCAAUUCCAACCCCACAUUUACCAGGAUCCAGGGAAUUCUUGGAAUUUUGGGAAGUGCCACAAAACUGUGGGAUCUGAGGCCUGGAAUUCCAGGAUGGAAACUUAAAUCCCAUCUCAAUCCCAAUCCCACAUUUUCCAGGAUCCAGGGAAUUCUUGGUAUUGUUGGAAGUGUCACAAACUCAUGGGAUCUAAGGCCUGGAAUUCCCACAUUCUGGGAUGGAAGCUUAAAUCCCACCCCAAUUCCAACACCAACCUUCCACAAUCCAGGGAAUUCUUGGAAUUAUGGGAAUUGCCACUGAACUGUGGGAUUUGGGGCAUGGAAUUCCAGGAUGGAAGCUUAAAUCCCACCCCAAUUCCAACUCCACAUUUUCCACGAUCCAGGGAAUUCUUGGAAUUGUGGGAAGUGCCACAAAAUUGUGGGAUUUGAGACACAGAAUUGUCAAAUUCCAGGAUGGAAGCUUAAAUCCCAUCCCAUUCCAGCCCAAACCCUUUCCACCAUCCAGGAAUUCCUGGAUCCAGGGAAUUCUUGGAAUUCUUGGAAUUGUGGGGAAGUGCCAC